rnacentral:rRNA from 1 species
UACGAAGGGGGCUAGCGUUGCUCGGAAUUACUGGGCGUAAAGGGAGCGUAGGCGGACAGUUUAGUCAGAGGUGAAAGCCCAGGGCUCAACCUUGGAAUUGCCUUUGAUACUGACUGUCUUGAGUAUGGGAGAGGUUAGCGGAACUCCGAGUGUAGAGGUGAAAUUCGUAGAUAUUCGGAAGAACACCAGUGGCGAAGGCGGCUAACUGGCCCAUUACUGACGCUGAGGCUCGAAGCGUGGGGAGCAAACAGG